rnacentral:rRNA from 1 species
UACGUAGGCAGCGAGCGUUGUUCGGAGUUACUGGGCGUAAAGGGUGUGUAGGCGGUUCUUUUAAGUUUGGUGUGAAAUCUCCCGGCUCAACCGGGAGGGUGCGUCGAAUACUGAGGGACUAGAGUGCGGGAGAGGAAAGUGGAAUUCCUGGUGUAGCGGUGAAAUGCGUAGAUAUCAGGAGGAACACCGGUGGUGUAGACGGCUUUCUGGACCGUAACUGACGCUGAGACACGAAAGCGUGGGUAGCAAACGGG